UUGAACGCUGGCGGCAUGCCUUACACAUGCCAGUCGAACGGUAACGGGCCUUCGGGUGCCGACGAGUGGCGAACGGGUGAGUAAUACAUCGGAACGUGCCCGAUCGUGGGGGAUAACGAGGCGAAAGCUUUGCUAAUACCGCAUACGAUCUACGGAUGAAAGCAGGGGACCGCAGGCCUUGCGCGGACGGAGCGGCCGAUGGCAGAUUAGGUAGUUGGUGGGAUAAAAGCUUACCAAGCCGACGAUCUGUAGCUGGUCUGAGAGGAUGAUCAGCCACACUGGGACUGAGACACGGCCCAGACUCCUACGGGAGGCAGCAGUGGGGAAUUUUGGACAAUGGGCGCAAGCCUGAUCCAGCCAUGCCGCGUGCAGGAUGAAGGCCUUCGGGUUGUAAACUGCUUUUGUACGGAACGAAAAGCCUUCUUUUAAUACAGGAGGGUCAUGACGGUACCGUAAGAAUAAGCACCGGCUAACUACGUG
rnacentral:rRNA from 1 species